rnacentral:rRNA from 1 species
GACGAACGCUGGCGGCGUGCCUAGUACAUGCAAGUAGAACGCUGAAGGAGGAGCUUGCUUCUCUGGAUGAGUUGCGAACGGGUGAGUAACGCGUAGGUAACCUGCCUGGUAGCGGGGGAUAACUAUUGGAAACGAUAGCUAAUACCGCAUAAGAGUAGAUGUUGCAUGACAUUUACUUAAAAGGUGCAAUUGCAUCACUACCAGAUGGACCUGCGUUGUAUUAGCUAGUUGGUGAGGUAACGGCUCACCAAGGCAACGAUACAUAGCCGACCUGAGAGGGGGAUCGGCCACACUGGGACUGAGACACGGCCCAGACUCCUACGGGAGGCAGCAGUAGGGAAUCUUCGGCAAUGGACGGAAGUCUGACCGAGCAACGCCGCGGGAGUGAAGAAGGUUUUCGGAUCGUAAAGCUCUGUUGUAAGAGAAGAACGAGUGUGAGAGUGGAAAGUUCACACUGUGACGGUAGCUUACCAGAAAGGGACGGCUAACUACGUG